ACAAGAAGAUGAAGACAAUAAAGAUGAUGAAGAUGAAAAAUCAAAGAAGGUUGAAAAGAUGAAGGCUCCUAUAAUUGCUAGGACCAACAAUAAAUGAAAUGAAGUUGUUGAAGAUUAUAAUGAUGACGACGAUGAUGAUGAUGAUGAUGAGUAUCAAUCUUUAAGUGAGAAAAGAAAAGCUUUAAGAGAAAAAAAGCUUGAAAGACAGCUUAGAGUACAACAAGCUGAAUCUUCUUCAAAUGAAAGAAGAUAUCUCUUGAGAAAAAAAAGACCUUGUGGCAAAUGGUGGAAGAACUACAUCUCUCUUU
rnacentral:lncRNA from 1 species